GGAGAGUUGACCGAGCGGCCGAAGGUGACGGUCUUGAAAACCGUUGAGGCGUUAAAGCGUCUCCGUGGGUUCGAAUCCCACACUCUCCGC
rnacentral:tRNA from 1 species